rnacentral:rRNA from 1 species
GACGAACCGUGCGAACGUUGUUCGGAAUCACUGGGCUUAAAGGGCGCGUAGGCGGGUUGUCAAGUCAGGGGUGAAAGCCUCCAGCUCAACUGGAGAAGUGCCUUUGAUACUGAUGAUCUUGAGGGAGGUAGGGGCAUGUGGAACUUCCGGUGGAGCGGUGAAAUGCGUAGAUAUCGGAAGGAACGCCGGUGGCGAAAGCGACGUGCUGGACCUCUUCUGACGCUGAGGCGCGAAAGCUAGGGGAGCGAACGGG